UACAGAGGGGCAAGCGUUAUUCGGAAUUAUUGGGCGUAAAGGGCGCGUAGGCGGCUUUGCAAGUGACGGGUGAAUCCUCGGCUUAACCGAGGAACUGCCUGUCAAACUGCAUGGCUUGAGACCGGGAGAGGUGAGUGGAAUUCCCAGUGUAGCGGUGAAAUGCGUAGAUAUUGGGAGGAACACCAGUGGCGAAGGCGGGACUCUGGGCCGAUACUGACGCGUGAGGAGCGAAAGCGAUGGGGAGCAAACAGG
rnacentral:rRNA from 1 species